rnacentral:rRNA from 1 species
AUUGAACGCUGGCGGCAGGCCUAACACAUGCAAGUCGAACGCGUGGCGGACGGGGGAGUAAUGUCUGGGAAACUGCCCGAUGGCGGGGGAUAACUACUGGAAACGGUAGCUAAUACCGCAUACCAUCGGAGGUGCCCAGAGGGGAUUAGCUAGUAGGUGGGGUAACGGCUCACGUAGGCGACGCUCCCUAGCUGGUCUGAGAGGAUGACCAGCCACACUGGAACUGAGACACGGUCCAGACUCCUACGGGAGGCAGCAGUGGGGAAUAUUGCACAAGGGGGGAAACCCUGAUGCAGCCAUGCCGCGUGUAUGAAGAAGGCCUUCGGGUUGUAAAGCACUUUCAGCGAGGAGGCGUUACUCGCAGAAGAAGCACCGGCUAACUCCGUGCCAGCAGCCGCGGUAAUAC